rnacentral:tRNA from 1 species
GGAUGCAGCCCAGUGGUACAGCACUAGCUUAGCAUGUGCAGGACCCCUGGGUUCAAAUCCCAGGACCAUCCA